GUUAAAUUCACUUCAGUGGUCCAAUUACUUUAAAGCCAAAAUAUCCGCCAUCUUGCAACGUCAUUCUGCAAAUCUUUGAAUUUUGAAUUUGAAUUCUGCAAAUUCUUGAAACGUCAUUCUUGAAACGUCAUUCUGCAAAACGUCAUUCUGCAAAACGUCAUUCUGAAACCUGUGAGCUGCAGAGGCCAGUUGUCGAGCUCUAGCCACAAGUUCAUGUACACUACACGGCAAAAAACGCUCAGGUUGAUGCAAUACUGAUGAAAACAGGAUUGAACAAUGUUUUGCUGCCCACAUUUCAUAGCUGUCAACAACAUUGAACAAUAUUGUUA